rnacentral:tRNA from 1 species
AGGGGAGUAGCUCAAUUGGUAGAGCGUCGGUCUCCAAAACCGGUGGCUGCGGGUUCAAGUCCUGUCUCCCCUGCCA